rnacentral:rRNA from 1 species
UACGUAGGGUGCGAGCGUUGUCCGGAAUCAUUGGGCGUAAAGGGCUCGUAGGCGGCUGCUCAAGUCGAAUGUGAAAACUCGAGGCUCAACCUCGAGCCUGCAUUCGAUACGGGCGGACUAGAGUUCGGUAGGGGAGACUGGAAUUCCUGGUGUAGCGGUGAAAUGCGCAGAUAUCAGGAGGAACACCGGUGGCGAAGGCGGGUCUCUGGGCCGAUACUGACGCUGAGGAGCGAAAGCGUGGGGGAGCGAACAGG